UACGUAGGGUGCAAGCGUUGUCCGGAAUUAUUGGGCGUAAAGAGCGUGUAGGCGGCCCGAUUAGUCCGCUGUGAAAGUCCAGGGCUCAACCCUGGAAUGCCGGUGGAUACUGUCGGGCUAGGGUCCGGAAGGGGCGAGUGGAAUUCCUGGUGUAGCGGUGAAAUGCGCAGAUAUCAGGAGGAACACCAAUGGCGAAGGCAGCUCGCUGGGACGUGACUGACGCUGAGACGCGAAAGCGUGGGGAGCAAACAGG
rnacentral:rRNA from 1 species